GAUGAACGCUAGCUACAGGCUUAACACAUGCAAGUCGAGGGGCAGCAUGGUCUUAGCUUGCUAAGGCCGAUGGCGACCGGCGCACGGGUGAGUAACACGUAUCCAACCUGCCGUCUACUCUUGGACAGCCUUCUGAAAGGAAGAUUAAUACAAGAUGGCAUCAUGAGUCCGCAUGUUCACAUGAUUAAAGGUAUUCCGGUAGACGAUGGGGAUGCGUUCCAUUAGAUAGUAGGCGGGGUAACGGCCCACCUAGUCUUCGAUGGAUAGGGGUUCUGAGAGGAAGGUCCCCCACAUUGGAGCUGAGACACGGUCCAAACUCCUACGGGAGGCAGCAGUGAGGAAUAUUGGUCAAUGGGCGAGAGCCUGAACCAGCCAAGUAGCGUGAAGGAUGACUGCCCUAUGGGUUGUAAACUUCUUUUAUAAAGGAAUAAAGUCGGGUAUGGAUACCCGUUUGCAUGUACUUUAUGAAUAAGGAUCGGCUAACUCCGUGCCAGCAGCCGCGGUAAUACAGAGGAUCCGAGCGUUAUCCGGAUUUAUUGGGUUUAAAGGGAGCGUAGAUGGAUGUUUAAGUCAGUUGUGAAAGUUUGCGGCUCAACCGUAAAAUUGCAGUUGAUACUGGAUAUCUUGAGUGCAGUUGAGGCAGGCGGAAUUCGUGGUGUAGCGGUGAAAUGCUUAGAUAUCACGAAGAACUCCGAUUGCGAAGGCAGCCUGCUAAGCUGCAACUGACAUUGAGGCUCGAAAGUGUGGGUAUCAAACAGGAUUAGAUACCCUGGUAGUCCACACGGUAAACGAUGAAUACUCGCUGUUUGCGAUAUACUGCAAGCGGCCAAGCGAAAGCGUUAAGUAUUCCACCUGGGGAGUACGCCGGCAACGGUGAAACUCAAAGGAAUUGACGGGGGCCCGCACAAGCGGAGGAACAUGUGGUUUAAUUCGAUGAUACGCGAGGAACCUUACCCGGGCUUAAAUUGCAGAUGAAUUACGGUGAAAGCCGUAAGCCGCAAGGCAUCUGUGAAGGUGCUGCAUGGUUGUCGUCAGCUCGUGCCGUGAGGUGUCGGCUUAAGUGCCAUAACGAGCGCAACCCUUGUUGUCAGUUACUAACAGGUUCCGCUGAGGACUCUGACAAGACUGCCAUCGUAAGAUGUGAGGAAGGUGGGGAUGACGUCAAAUCAGCACGGCCCUUACGUCCGGGGCUACACACGUGUUACAAUGGGGGGUACAGAGGGCCGCUACCACGCGAGUGGAUGCCAAUCCCCAAAACCUCUCUCAGUUCGGACUGGAGUCUGCAACCCGACUCCACGAAGCUGGAUUCGCUAGUAAUCGCGCAUCAGCCACGGCGCGGUGAAUACGUUCCCGGGCCU
rnacentral:rRNA from 1 species